rnacentral:lncRNA from 1 species
GGCCACUCUCCCUUCCAUGGAUCUGGACACGCUCCCCCUGCUUGAGGCUUCUUGGUCACCAGCAUCACCGGAAGAUGUUCAUGUCUACUCCUCAGGGAGGCCAUAGACUGUACGUGUUGAACGGAUGGACCUCUCACAUGGUUGAGGGAGGACCACCUCUUAUGGGAUUGAAGACAGAAGAGCUUGAAGAUGGAAGAGGAAAACGUUGUCGCGUUAUUGUUGUUGUUGUUGUUGUAGGGACAUGCAAAGCACUCCCUCCUCCAUUGACUUUUCGUAUUUCCAUUGUAUCUGGUUGUGAUUGGUUUUUUCAUUAUUAAACAGUGAUUGAUUGAA